UGUUGGCGGAACGACGGUUCCCGCGCGACGGACACCAUCAUUAAGCAGCCGCCGAUUACAUCUCCGUCCGCGGUCAUUGUGCCACGCGGGCUUGUGUUUCAGACAAGCACUCGCCCCAUCUGUCGCCAGGACGAGGCAUAGGCGGGCCGGAGUGCCUCUACGCGAGUCUGGUGAACCUUCGUGCCGGUUGGCUGAGAGGCGGUGAUGGUGUGCAGGAGCGGGAGGGUUAGGCGCCCGGGAGUGUGCAGGACAGGGUUGCAGCAGCCAGCAUGCAACAAAAGCCCGGGGGACCCAGCCUGUGACGGGCCAACCUGCAUAAUGAGUCGCCGUGGACCUCCCUCCCUCCCAUACCCCGCAUACGUGCAAAUGCACCCGCCUUGCGAGCCUUUAAGAGCACUCCAGCCCGCCUUAGGAAGUCCUGUUGAGGGGCAGCGGGCGAAGCCAAGGGAGGGUGUGGAUCAUAACGUGUGGGCGGGGGUGGAGGUGGUGCUGGAGGGUGCAAUAAGCGGGCGAAGAGAACGGGUUGUCCUGGUGGCUGGUAUGAAGCGAGGUCGGGACCCUACCAGCGGGGUUAGUAUUGAGGUGACUGGGCACGGCAGAGUGGGCAUGCAUAGCGCCAGUUGCACCUCGGCCCGGGUAGCCGCACACGGGCCCCGCGCUGCAGCCGCCACGCACGCCAUACCCGGCUUGGCGAUAGGAGCGAUUUAGUGAUCCAGCUUGUCGAGCGAAUGAGAGAGCGAGAGAAGGAGAGCGAGGGGCAUGGGAUGUGAUGGGCGUGUGUCGGGCGUUGGGUCAGGUAGUACAUACCCAGACAACCUUGUUAUUAUAUGUGAGCGUGCCGCGGGCUGCGUCCUUUUGUACAGGUGCUUGGUCCCUCCUUCAGGCUACACGGACCGUACCGCCGACCUCGAUCCUCCUUGAUACCCUCGCUGCCUCUCCAGAAAUUGAUGAUCGAAAUCAUGUUGGCAGGGAAGCCAUUACAGUGACAGUUUGCGAUCACGUGAGUCGUUUGCGGCAGCUUGAGAUGAGAGUCACCGCUGAAACCCGUGGAGUGUGCCUUUAUCAGGAAACUAAAAUUCAUCCUAAUGAUGUGUAAUGUAAUAAUUGUCUCCGGGACAUCGGGAAUGUGUCAAGGUGCAAAUCGAAUUCACAGAUGCGUUAUCGAGCAAGGCGAUGGAUUCAACUAUAAUUUGACUGUACGUGCAUCACCCUCGGCGAGCUGAGAGGCUGCGAGUCACCAGGGACCUUGGUCACACGUCUGGGCGGUGCUGCAGCAGCCUGUCGCUGCCUUCCAGAUACUGCCCCUCUGCCCACUGACCUCCACGGGACGUGAGGGUGAGCUUUGCCGCCGCCUUGUACUUGGAUCAUCAGAGGCCUUCACCUUGAAAGCUUUGACCGCAGUCGCAGCCGCAGCCGCCGCUGGCUCCAUCCUUGCAAGUCGGUGUCAACAUCUUUGUGGCAACUCGGAAGCGAAAUGAAAGAAAAUGAGUUCAGGAAACCACUCAGAUAACAAGAUGCAUUUCACAAGUCGUGUGUCCUUCCUCAAGGUGAGGCUCUGGAUCUCUGGGAAUUCAUGACCUGCUCAGCAGAAAGGUGACCUACUGCAAGACUGCCUCUGUCCCUCACAGGUGUUAAGGUGACGUGAGGAGAUGUAUAGCCCAGCUGUUGACAUCAGCCGGCGCGGUGGCCCGAGGUGUGGCCCGCACACCGUCGCAGUAGGCAAGUUUGGACCCCGGUGGGCGAGGAUCUGGGCGCCUCAAGGCCGUCUCGGAGGAUGCAGACCCGUGCAGAUGACGUUAAGUUGACGGAGGAUGCAACGCACAGUGGAAGCGAGUGUAGCGGCAGGCGGCGUUGGUAGGGACGACCGCCCGUUCUUUCCUUCCCUUCGUGCUUCUGAAAAACCGAGGAGUUGGUCAAGGCGGAACACAAAACUGAGAGGCUGAGGUGGAGACGUGCUGGCAGCAGACCAGACUGACGUCAUGCACGGAGUACUUAAAUUCGGGCAGCAGGCGAAGGCAGGCUGGGUCCCGAGGAGAAAUAAGAAGUAUAAGAAGAAAUAGAUCCUGUCGAGGUCACCUUAUUGUCGUACUUCAGGUGCCGGACGUCCCACGCUUCGCCUCACUCAUGCGAUAACGCCGCGCUAAUGGAGUUCCUCGCCGCCCUACCUGUUUAUCUUCGGUGAUUCAUGGUCAGUUCCACCGCCACGAGACCCCCAGGAGGAGGACGUAGCAACCGGCAUCAACAGGUGUGGUAUCGGCACCGACCAGACGCGAUGGUGAGGCUCGGUAGAUGACAGCACCUGGUGACAGCCAGUGACGCGCGGCCACCAAACAGGGGCGCUUUUCAAAAAUCUUGCGAUAAAUGAAAGUUGUGUGUCGCGGCACUGACGAGUAGCAUGACGCGAGGAGCACACGUAUGAGGAGCGACAAGGGAAGCAUGAGUGGCAUACGAAGAGCCAUUUAGCCAGAAUAAAGGACCGUGUCACAAGCGGGGUGAUAACAGACACGAGGCAGUCUAGUAGUAAAUAAUCAUGUACCACCAAAACGUGAUGAGCUAAGCAACUACUCAAUGGUGAUAAAAUUAGGGUUUUCUCUUCUUUUACCACGUGUCUACCAGAGAUGUUCACUGAGGGAGUCAACGUGUAUGUGAUAUCAGCUUUCUGGCUCACCGGCGAGACUGGAUAGGAAAAACAAAAUUACCAAAUUAGUUUAUGCCUCUAAAAGGUGGCGGAUGCGAGGUGAAAUGAGGAGCAAGAGGAGGAGGAUGGGAAGAGAAAACUGAAAGCAUUUUUUCUCCUUUUUUUUUUUAAACGGCGAUUAAAAAAAGAGGGACCAUUGAGAAACUUAUUUUUAAGGUGCACUGGAGAAGGACUUUAAGAGGUCGAGGUGCUUCAGCGCUUCACCCGACGCGAGUUGAUCGUGGAGCGAGUGAUAUGUCUGCUACUUCUCCAGCGGCAGCCGGGAGGGAACAGGUGUGAGGGACAAAAAAAGAACAAAAAAAGGCCAAAUGAGCCAAACUUGGUUAUGUAUAUGAGGCAUCACCAUGAUGGUCUACCUGUACACUUGCAGAACAGGUGUGAGGGACAAAAAAAAGGUCAAAUGAGCCAAACUUGGGACCUGAAUCUGUUGGCUCUGGUUGCUGCUAUCACUCCUGCUGCAGCUGGACUCAUCAGCUUCCAGACCUCAAAAACAUCUGUUGAAUAAAAAAAACUUAUGGAUACUUAGUGUGUAAGACUGUGUGGACUGGUAGUGUUGCCAGUUACAAGCAUCCAAAUGUACAAGUCAAGAGACUCUACCACUCAGCCUUUUUUUUUUUUUUAAUAAAUUCUAUAGUGAAAUGUUGCUACUUAUUCUCUGGAGACCCUUUUUAGUAUUUUAUAGGAGACAAAACCUUUUUAGUAUUAUUUUAUUGCCUUGAAUCAAAAUCAUUUAGUAUUUUAUUGCCUUGAAUGAAAAUCCUUCUUUAGGAGGUGCAAUCUUGGUUUAUCUGGUUAAUCCUAGAAUAUUUUCAAGAAAGGGUAGUUACCAAUGCAUGCAUUCAAUAAAUGUUUUCAAAUUAUGAAUGCAUGCACUGUCCUAAAUAUUUUGCAAUCUUGGUUUAUCUGGUUAAUCCUAGAAUAUUUUCAAGAAAGGGUAGUUACCAAUGCAUGCAUUUAAUAAAUGUUUUCAAAUUAUGAAUGCAUGCACUGUCCUAAAUAUUUUGGUUUGUACAUUUUGGUUUAUACAUGCACUACAGUAUACAUUAACCCUAAAAAAGGAUUAAACCCUAAGAAUACAAA